GGGUGCGACCAUACUUGGCCGAAUGCGCCAUAUCCCGUCCGAUUUGUGAAGUUAGGCGGCCACAGGCCUCGUCAGUACGGCGGUCAGUGGUGGUGGCGCUGGAACCCGGGGUGCCGUACCCU
rnacentral:rRNA from 1 species